UUGAUCCUGGUAUAUAAAUUGAACGAUUUAUAUCCGUUACAUACUCAGCUUGUUCAUUCUGAAGUUCAAAUACUAUUCUCCCUUCUUCAUAGCUACUCCCAAAUGCAGUUCGAGAAAUGACUUCAGCGGUCAUUAAUUGAAGGUCUGGCCAUACAUCGAGCUCGAAUGAUGUUUCCUUGGGAAUAAUCUCCUCCCAUUUGCUUAUUAUUUCACUACAACUCUGAUAAAAUGCUGGCAACAUAUGCUGUACAAAACAAAUUAAUCGCAAAAACCAGUACUAGUUAUCAGUAGCAGAGCUACAUAUAUUGAAGGGGCCUCAAUUGAAACCCCUUCUUCGGGAAAUUAACUACUGGAAUUGGGUAACAACAAUUGUUUUUGGGCAUAUAGAUAUAAAUUUUUGAAUCCCUUCAUAAUGUUAAAUUUACCAAUGUUUUCUAUAUUUAUUAGUAAUAAGAAUAUGAAGUGAAUAUAACCUUUAACUUCUCAGUUUGGAAAGCAGGAUUGAUGAUUUUUCGGUGUUUGGCCCAUUUAUCUUCCUCAAGCUUCGCAAGACCUAUAGCCAAUAACUUGGAAAAUGGAUUGGGAUGAGUUUCCUUUUGGUACACAUAAUUCUUUGUGAAAAUCUCCUUUACAUGUUCAGGAUCUGUAAUCAACACUACUGGAUAUGGGCCUAGCCACACAAAAGAACUUUUACCUGAGAGUAAUCAAUUUUCGAUUAGAAAAAAGAAACAGCAUAAUUCAUAAACACUCCAACUUCAGUCCAAUAAAUAUUUCACUGUGUAUUCGGUUAAAUAUUAAAAUUCAUAGAUUUGAAAUCUUGGAUCUGUCUCUACUUGGAGUUCGCGACCUCUUUCAUGGAUGGAGCUAGGGUACCAAAAAGUGAUUCAUCUGGAUUCUCUUUAGAAAAAAAUUACACCAUACAUAUAUACAAGAAUAGAAUUUUUUUACUGUUUUAAAGAAGAAUAAAAGAAAAUACCAUUUUUGUUGAUGGAGUCACAGAAAAAAGGGAUGAGCCUUUGGGCUAUAUCAUCAGAGAAAUUGAUAGGCUUAGAUUUGGCUUCAUUGAGUUUAUUUGUGAAUUCCUUCAAAUCUCCAUGGUAUAAUUUGUAUGGAUUUCCCUUAAGACCACUCUUUCUUAAGUAUUUUUCAAGUUUCUUUGGCUUUAACCAUGCCCAAUUCAACACUCUCCAUGUAUAUACCAACAAAACUGCAACACAAAUUGCUUCUAUAAUUCUGUUGUAAGAAAUCUUCAUGAAAUUAAUGACAGUCUUCUUUUUAGCUGCUUUCUUUCAUUGUUGGAUCCGCCUCCUCUCCAUUUUUCCAAAGUCCUUUCUUUGACUGGGACAUGUGGCAUAGGUUAGAUUUAAUGCUAUAAUUUAAUUAACCAAAGAAAGUCCUUCACUAUGGUUCUGAUAAUAAAUACAUACUUAGUUCCAAAUAUUAUUGUUAUCUCACAAUUUUAGCACCAUAUUAGUAUUUUGUCCAUAAAUAUAGUAAAAAAUAAAAGGCAUAAUACAUAAACAUGUCCUUUAACUGAAAUCUAUGCCCUUCAACUUUGGGUGUGCGCACAAGUAGACACUUAACUUGCAUAAAAUUAAACAAAUAUAACACAUCCUACAUGACAUAAUACACGUAGGACGCCACAUAGGACACAAAAUUGUCAUGUAUGACGUCACGGAAGACGAAUGUGUCUAUUUAUUUAAUUUUAUACAAGUUUAAGUGUCUACUUGUGCACACUCAAAGUUGGAGGGCAUAGAUGCAAGUUGAAGCCAAGUAAAUGGCAUAUUUAUGCAUUAUGCCUAAUUCAUGUAAAUUGUUCCCUAAAUACAAAAAAAAUCCUCUAAAAAUGCUAAGGUUGUACAUACUGUUCCGUCAAAUCCCUACGGAGGGUUCCAUAAAGAUUUCACAAAAAAUUUAUCCGGAAAUCACAUCACCAAAGUAUUUAUGAGGUAACACACAAAAUACUGAGAAAAUCACCUAGUUUUUAUAAAUUGGACUCUAAAUGCCCAAAAAUCACUCUAAAAAUGGUGAGACUGUACGUACUACUCCCCCAACUCCCUACGGAGGGUUUCAUAAAAGUUUCGCAAAAAAAUCUUUCAAAAGUCAUAUAACCAAAUAUUGUCAGCUAACACACACGAAAAACUUAGAAAAAUCACCUAAUACUUGUAAAUUGACCCCUAAAUGCCCAAAAAUCACUCUAUAAAUGGUGUGAUUAUACUUACUACAACCUCAACUCCCUACGAAGGGUUCCAUUAAGAUUUUGCAAAAAAUUCAUCCGAAAGCCAUAUUACUAAAAUAUUCAUGUGCUAACAUACACAAGAAAAUUGCCCGAUUUCUAUAUAUUGGUCCCUAAAUACCCAAAAAUCACUCUAAAAUUAGUGAGACUCUAUGUACUGCUCCCCAACUCCCUACAGAGGGUUUAAUUAAGAUUUCGUAAAAUUUCGUCCCGAAGCUAUGUCACAAAAAUAUUCAUGUGCUUAACACACGUGAAAAAUUGAGAAAAUUGUCUAAUCCUGUUAAUUAGUCCCUUAAUGCCCAAAAAUAACUCUAAAAAUGGUGAGAUUGUACAUACUGCUCCCCCAACUCUCUACGAAGGGUUCCAUAAAGGUUUCGCAAAAAAAAUCAACUAGAAGUCAUAUCACCAAAAUAUUCAUGUGCAAACAUACACAAAAACUGAGAAAAUUUUCUGAUUCCUAUAUAUUGGUCCCUAAAUACCCAAAAAUUACUCCAAAAAUAGUGAGACUCUACGUACUUCUCCCCAACUCCAUAUGGAGGGUUUAAUAAAGGUUCCGUAGGAAAUUCGUCCAGAAGCCAUAUCACAAAAAUAUUCAUGUGCUAACACACAUGAAAAACUGAGAAAAUUGCAUAAUCUUGUUAUUUGGCCCCUAAAUGCCCAAAAAUGAUUCUCAAAAUGGUGAGAUUGUACUUACUGCUCCUCCAACUCUCUAUGGAGAGUUCCAUAAAGGUUUCACAAUUUUUUUUCUCAAAGUCAUAUCACCAAAAUAUUCAUGGCUAACUAAUAUAGACAAAAAACUGAGAAAAUAUCCUAAUUCAUGUAAAUUGGACCCUAAAUGCCCAAAAAUCAUUCUAAAAAUGGUGACACUGUACGUAACUUCUCCCCUGACUCCUUACGGAGGAUUCCCUAAAGGAUUCGCAAAAAAGGUUUUUUCGGAAGUCAUAUCACCAAAAUAUUCAUGUACGUCACACACAAAAAAAGGAGUUUUGGACGUUGAAUCCUAGUUUUUCACCGUAGUGUUUACCCACAUCUUGGUUUGAUAUAAACACAGGGGUGUGAGUCAUGAAAUUUUGCUGAUUUAAUCAGUUUUUCUCCUUGUAAGUAGAAAUAAACUUGCAGGACUGAGAGAGAACAAUCUAUAUGCACAAGACAUAAAGGCUUGACUUGCAUAAUUAGGAAUCACUGAUGUAAGCUCUUCACGAGACACGAUGGAGCAUUAUAACAAGUUUAAACUAAUUCACCCACAGAAGAAAUGUGAAAAGAAAGUGAACAUGAACAUUGAUAACAAUUCAAAACUGCAAUGUUGAAAUAGGAAAAGAAUUAUUUCAGCCAUAACCCGACUAGUUUAGAAGUAUUCGUGCUGAAACAAGGAGAACACAACACCAUUGGUAUUAAAUAUGAGCAACAUCCAUUUCAAAGUUUGCGCAAAAGCAGAGGAGCACCAUACUGUGGAUGAAUAUUAAUUGUCACAAGUGGAGCAUGUGUAUAAGACGGAGAGAGUUCGAAGGAGAACUUUUGUAAUAUCAUUGCUAUUGCCAUUUUUGCCUCCAUCAUUGCAAAGUUUUGUCCGAUGCAAACUCGAGGUCCCCCGCCAAAUGGAAUAAACGAGACCUGUCCUUUUGUUGCCUUUGACACUCCCUCACUGAAUCUUUCUGGUUUGAAUUCCUUCGCGUCUUCACCCCAUAAUUCCUUGUCAUAAUGAAUUAAUAUUGUGGGUAUAAUGAGUAGCACUCCAGCUGGUAAACUCAGCUCCCCUAAUUUGACUUCAUGUUUGUUCCUUCUACGAUAUGUUGGUACUGAGGGGAAUAGCCUUAACGUCUCGUGCAAGAUCAUUGUCAUCUAAGGAAAGAAAAAUGUAUUGGAUAAGUUGGAAGUAGAAUUAGUUCACUUCUUACAAAAUUUAGAUGUCAUACCUUUCAGAGAUCUUUUAGUCUCCGAGUAAAUGCCCCUAGGAGACUGGAAUAGGCCGAUAGAAAAUGUGGUUUAUCUGAUCUCAGUGGGAACAAUUUGGCAUUAAUGAUGGGCAAGACGAUAUAACAACUACUUAUUUUAUCGUUGAUUUUACAGUGUUUUUCAUCUUUAAAAUUCGAUCUAUGCAGUGAUCUUGGGCUAUUUUAAGUUAUCUUACAUAAUGAACUGGUGGAAAGUACUUACAAUUUUGAGGUGACUUAGACCUUCCGAAUUCGGUUUUUCAUUUCCGAAGACCUGCAACACCUCCUCUCUGGCACGUGCUUGCCACUCUGGAUGUAGGCUCAACAAAAUCAUUGUCCACACGAGCAACACUGAAGCGGUCUCUUGUCCAGCAAAAUAGAAUAACUUGCAUUCUUCAAUCAUUUCAAUUGUUGUUAUUCCGAAAUCUUUGCUUCUGUGUUGUUCAAUUUCUCUCAUAUUGGAUUCAAGUAAUAUGCCUAAUAAGUCAUCUUUACUAGUUUCCCCUGCUUCCAUUGCCCUCAAUCUUUUGUCGAUGAUACGUCUAAUAGUUGUUUGGACUUGCUUUUCGAUUUCCAGCAUUCUUUUGUUCCUUUUAGUAGGCAAGAACCUAACAAAACAAAUUUAAAAGCAAACAAGAAAAGUGUUUUUAGUAGAAAGGAAUGAACAUGUGGUUUUCGAUGUUAUGUAGAAAUUUCACAAAUAAAUUGUUAUACCUUGUUCCUGGUAUAUAAACUGAACGAAUUAUGUUAAUUACAUACUCAGCUUGUUCUUUCUGAAGUUCAAAUACUAUUCUCCCUUCUUCAUAGCUACUCCCAAAUGCAGUUCGAGAAAUGACUUCAGCGGUAAUUAAUUGAAGGUCUGGCCAUACAUCGAGCUCGAAAGAUGUUUCCUUUGGAAUAAUCUCCUCCCAUUUGCUUAUCAUUUCGCUACAACUCUGGUAAAAUGCUGGCAACAUAUGCUGUACAAAAGAAAUUAAUCUCAAAAAGGUGGUUCAAAAGUUGCUAUAGAUUUCAGGUUCAAAUCUCAGGUGUGGCAUGCUUGCAUUGUUUUAAAUCCACUUCACGUUGUUUGUUACUGCACUCGUGGACAUAAACGGACAACUUCAUAAUGUUAAGACAUUUCAAUAUGCUAUCUUAAGUUCUAAGCAUGAAAAUUUACCAAUGUUUGCUAAAUCUAUUAGUACUAAGAAUAUGAAGUGAAUAUAACCUUUAACUUCUCAAGUUGGAAAGCAGGUUGGAUGAUCUUUCUGUGUUUGGCCCAUUUGUCUUCCUCAAGCUUCGCAAGACCUAGAGCCAAUUUCUUGGCAAAUGGAUUGGGAUGAGUUUGCCUUUGGUACACAUAAUUCUUUGUCAAAAUCUCCUUUACAUGUUCAGGGUCUGUGAUCAACACUACUGGAUAUGGGCCUAGCCACAUAAAAGAACUUUUACCUGAGAGUAAUCCAUUUCGAUUAGAAAAAAAAGAGGCAAAAUACAUCAACAUACACUCAAAUUUAAUCCCAACUGACAAGCAAGCACUCCAACUUCGAGAGUGCACAUAUGUUGACAUGUUAACCAUACAUCUUUUUUACUUUGCCUGAUUUGGUGCAAGAAAACACAGGCAAGUAAGUUAUCAACUAUGAAUUCAUAGGGCUCUAAUUGCUUAGGUAAUUGCAUCAGUCAACUAUAGUCUUUAGUUGAGAUCAGGGGAGGAGCAACCACAAAACGUAUUGGUUCAUGUGAACUAUGUAGCUUUUGUCAAGAUCUUGUUUAUUAUAUGUAUUUUAGGAACCAUAAAUGUUUGAUCGUAUAUCCAUUUAUAUACACUUAAGGUCCCUAUUAAAAUCCAUAAAUUUCAAAUCUUGGAUCUGCCUCUACUUGAGAGUUCACGGCCCUCUGAACUCAUGGAUGGAGCUAGGGUACCAAAAAGUGAUUCAUCUAGAUCCUCUUUACAAAAAAUUACACUGCAUAAAGACAAGAAUAGAAAAAAUUUAUUCCUUUAAAGAAGAAUAAAUGAAACAUACCGUUUUUAUUGAUGGCGUUGGCGAAAAAAGGGUUGAUUCUUUGAGCUAUACCGUCAGAGAAAUUGAUGGGCUUAGAUUUGGCUUCAUUGAGUUUAUCUGUGAGUUCCUUCAAAUCUCCAUAGAGUAAUUUGUAUGGAUUUCCCUUAAGACCACUCUUUCUUAAGUAUUUCUCAAGUUUUUUUGGCCUAAACCAUGCCCAAUUCAACAGUUUCCAUGUAUAUACCAACAAAACUGCAACAUAAAUUGCUGUUAUAAUUGUGUUGUAAGAAAUCUCCAUGAAAUUAAUAAAAUGCUUCUUUCUAGCUGCUUCCUUUUACAUAGAAAAAAGAGGGGAAGUUAGCUAAUUUAUAACCUUUUAAUUUAUUGGAUUUGACUCCUUUCCAUUUUCCCCAAAUUCUUGAUUUGAUUGCUGAGAUUUAACUAACCAAAGAAAGUCUUUGACUAUGGUUCAGAUAAUAAAUACAUUAUAUAUUUAGUUUCAAAUAUUAUUGUAAUCUCACAAUCUUAGCAACAUAUUAUUAUCUUGUCCAUAAAAAUAGUAAAAAAUAAAGGCAUAAUACAAUAAUAUACCCUUUAACUUUUUUUAAAAAAACCUUUAACUUGGCUUUGGCGGACAUCUAUGCCCUCCAAAUUUAGGUGUACAAAAGUAGAUACUUAAGCUUAUAUGAAAUUGAACAUGUAGCCACAUACAUCUACGUGGCAUAAUACAUGUAGAAUACUACAUAGGACACAAAAUUGCCAUGUAGGACGUCAUGACCUAAGACGAAUGUGUCUAUUUGUUUAGUUUUAUAUAAGCUUAAUACUCAAAAGUGAUUCUUUUUAUAGAUUGAACAAGCUUAUCUCUUCUUCUUCUCCUUUUUCCUUUUUGUUUCAUCCGUUUACACAUAUUAAAUUAAAGGUAUGAACUAUUAAAUCUAAAUAUUACACAAUUUGAUUUUUGGUGCAUCCAUUUUUCAAAAAAAAAAUUAUUUUUAACUUGGACACCCUUCAUAAAAUUCUAUAGAGACAUUUCUAAACCAAACUAUUAGCGGUAGAUGAAUUUUGGAUCAAACUAUUAACGAUAAGGACAUUUUUAGAUCAAACUAUUAAUGGAGUGCAUUUUUGUUCAAUUUCACAUAUUUUAAGGGUAUUUUGACCCUUUUCCAAUUAAAAUAAUUGGACAAUAAAUACAUCCUAAAAUGGAAAAAAAUACAAAUGCAAUAUCGAAUGUAAUAGAUUUGUUAGUCAUUCCUCAUCCAAAAAUGAAGGCAAGACUUACUCAAAGGCUCAAACUCCUAUGUUGAAAAAAUUACUUUGAAUAUACUCUCUCCGUCAUAAAAUAAGUGUCACUUUAGCUGAUCAUUUCACACUUAUUAAGAAAAAUAACAAAUAAAAGAUAUAGUUUACUAAGUUAUCCCUUUUAAUUAGAUUUUUCUUGAGAGUCGAGUACUAUUUAAAGGAAGUAGUUCUUUAAUACAAGGGUGUAGUUGGAAACACAAACUAUAUUUUGUUUUGAAUUCCUAUAUAUGAUUCUUCUAGCAAAGCUCAAGGUAUAUUUGAUAUUCUUUAUACAUGAUUUUUUUUACUUGUGAACGGCUAAUUUUGAGUUUUAAAUAUCUCCCUUAUACAUAUACUUGCUUAUCAUUUUUUUGCGGCUAUAUUAUAAUCUAAUUUUUGUAUCUAUAAAAUAAAAUUGAGGCAUCUAAGAUAAAUUUUAGGGAAAAUGCAUAAGUACCCCCCCCCCCCCCCNNNNNNNNNNNNNNNNNNNNNNNNNNNNNNNNNNNNNNNNNNNNNNNNNNNNNNNNNNNNNNNNNNNNNNNNNNNNNNNNNNNNNNNNNNNNNNNNNNNNNNNNNNNNNNNNNNNNNNNNNNNNNNNNNNNNNNNNNNNNNNNCCCGAACUUAUUUUAUAAAUAAUUUUCUACCCCUUUUUGGCCUACGUGGCACUAUCAAUGAAAUAAUUGUCAACACACGCGGGGCCCAAAAAAUAGUGCCACGUAGGCCGAAAAGGGGUAUACAAUUAUUUAUAAAAUAAGUUCAGGAGGGUAAUAGGACCUUAGUAUAGUAUAAGUGUAUCUCUGAGAUUUCGGGCAUAGGUUGGGGGUACUUAUGCAUUUUCUCUAAAUUUUAUAGGUAAAUGAGUGGGAAUUUUUUUUUGACAAUCUAAAAAUAAUUUUUUUUUUUUUUCAAUCAUGUUAAACCUAAAGGGUAUUUCUUGGUCAUUUGCGUAUCAGUAAGCAUAUAUGCACUUUUACAAUGAGAGUAUAUCAAUUCUGAAUCGCAAAGUUGAGGUAUGAGACUCUUUUCCCUUUAUUAAAAGCAAAUAAGUCGAACAAAAGGUCGGCCCAAAAGUGACCAGCCCAGCUCAAUACCACAAUGUUGAAAUAGGAAAAGAGCAAUUUCUUAAAUAUGAGCAACAUCUAUUUCAAAGUUUGCGCAUAAGGAGAGGAGCACCAUACUGUGGACGAAUAGUAAAUGAUGCAACUGGAGCAUGUGUAUAAGACGGAGAGAGUUCGAAGGAGAACUUUUGUAGAAUCAUUGCUAUUGCCAUUUUUGCUUCUAUCAUUGCAAAGUUUUGUCCGAUGCAAACUCGAGGUCCCCCGGAAAAUGGAAUAAACGAGAAGUGUCCUUUGGUUGCCUUUGACACUCCUUCACUGAACCUUUCUGGUUUGAAUUCCUUCGCGUCUUCACCCCAUAAUUCCUUGUCAUAAUGAAUUAAUACUGUAGGUAUAAAGAGUAGCACUCCAACUGGUAGACUCAGAUCCCCUAAUUUGACUUCAUCUUUGUUCCUUCUACGAUAUGUAGGUACUGGGGGGAAUAGCCUUAAUGUCUCGUGCAAGAUCAUUGUCACCUAUAUAUGAAAAGAAAAAUGUAUUGCAUAAGUUGGAAGUAGAAUUAGUUCACUUCUUACAAAAUUUAGAUGUCAUACCUUUCUGAGAUAUUUAGUCUCCGAGUAAUUAUUAGCCCUCUGAGACUGAAAUAGGACGAUAGAAAUGUGGUCUAUCUGAUAGAAGUUGGAUCAACUUGGCAUUAAUGAUGGGCAAGACGAUUUAACAGCUACUUAUUUUAUAGUGUUAUUCAUCUUCGAAAUUUGAUCUACGCAGUAAUCUUCGGCUAUUUUCAGUUGUCUUACAUAACAAACUAGUGGAAAGUACUUACAAUUUUGAGGUGACUUAGUCCUUCAAAAUUUGGUUUUUCAUUUCCGAUGACCUGCAAAACCUCCUCUCUGGCACGGGCUUGCCACUCUGGAUGUAGGCACAACAAAAUCAUUGUCCAGACGAGCAGCACUGAAGUGGUCUCUUGUCCAGCGAAGUAGAAUAACUUGCAUUCUUCAAUCACUUCAAUUGUUGUCAUUCCGAAAUCUUUGCUUCCAUGUUGUUCAAUUUCUUUCAUAUUGGAUUCAAGUAAUAUGCCUAAUAAGUCAUUUUUACUAGGCUCCCCUGCUUCCAUUGCCCUCAAUCUUUUGUCGAUGAUAAGCUUAAUCGUUGUUUGGACUUGCUUUUUGAUUUCCAGCAUUCUUUUGUUCCUUUUAGUAGGCAAGAACCUAACAAAACAAAUUUAAAUGCAAACAAGAAAAAUCUCUUUAGUAGAAUGUAAUGAACAUGUUAAUUUUCGAUAUUAUGUAGAAAUUUCACAAAUAAUUUGGUAUACCUCGUUCCUGGUAUAUAAACUGAACGACUUAUGUCUAUUACAUGCUCAGCUUGUUCUCUCUGUAGUUCAAAUACUAUUCUCCCUUCUUCAUAACUACUCCCAAAUGCAGUUCGAGAAAUGACUUCAGCGGUCAUUAAUUGAAGGUCUGGCCAUACAUCGAGCUCGAAUGAUGUUUCCUUUGGAAUAAUCUCCUCCCAUUUGCUUAUCAUUUCACUAUAACUCUGAUAAAAAGCUGGCAACAUAUGCU
rnacentral:lncRNA from 1 species